AGAGUUUGAUCCUGGCUCAGGAUAAACGCUGGCGGCGCACAUAAGACAUGCAAGUCGAACGGACUUAAUCGAUUCUUUUAGAUUCGAAGCGGUUAGUGGCGGACUGGUGAGUAACACGUAAGCAACCUGCCUGUUAGAGGGGAAUAACAGUGAGAAAUCACUGCUAAAACCGCAUAUGCCGUGAACAUCGCAUGAUGAAAACGGGAAAAGAGCAAUCUGCUAAUAGAUGGGCUUGCGUCUGAUUAGCUAGUUGGUGUGGUAAAGGCAUACCAAGGCAACGAUCAGUAGCCGGACUGAGAGGUUGAACGGCCACAUUGGGACUGAGAUACGGCCCAGACUCCUACGGGAGGCAGCAGUGGGGAAUAUUGGGCAAUGGGCGCAAGCCUGACCCAGCAACGCCGCGUGAAGGAAGAAGGCUUUCGGGUUGUAAACUUCUUUUGUCAGGGACGAGUAGAAGACGGUACCUGACGAAUAAGCCACGGCUAACUACGUGCCAGCAGCCGCGGUAAUACGUAGGUGGCAAGCGUUGUCCGGAAUUAUUGGGCGUAAAGCGCAUGUAGGCGGUUCCUUAAGUCGGUCGUGAAAAUGCGGUGCUUAACGCCGUAUGGCGAUCGAAACUGGGGGACUUGAGUGCAGGAGAGGAAAGGGGAACUCCCAGUGUAGCGGUGAAAUGCGUAGAUAUUGGGAAGAACACCGGUGGCGAAGGCGCCUUUCUGGACUGUGUCUGACGCUGAGAUGCGAAAGCCAGGGUAGCGAACGGGAUUAGAUACCCCGGUAGUCCUGGCCGUAAACGAUGGGUACUAGGUGUGGGAGGUAUCGACCCCUUCCGUGCCGGAGUUAACGCAAUAAGUACCCCGCCUGGGGAGUACGGCCGCAAGGCUUAAACUCAAAGGAAUUGACGGGGGCCCGCACAAGCGGUGGAGUAUGUGGUUUAAUUCGAAGCAACGCGAAGAACCUUACCAGGCCUUGACAUCCCUUGCAGAGGUAUAGAGAUAUAUCCGAGGUUAUCAAGGAGACAGGUGGUGCAUGGUUGUCGUCAGCUCGUGUCGUGAGAUGUUGGGUUAAGU
rnacentral:rRNA from 1 species